UUGACUAAAGCAAUUGACAAUCGUUUCAUUGCUCGCACCGUGAUUAAUUCACUCUAGAGCAAACUAAAAACAUACGUCCAGCUUUUAUUGUUUUGCCAGACCAAAAAAAAAAAGAAAACAGGUAACUGGUGGCUGGCACAGCAGAAUAUGUAAGCUGUUACCGGCGUUAUCUUGUUUUUCACCAUAACAUAGUCUUGUCUUUCAACAGCUCGUUUCAGCUGUCUGCCGCCCAGCGGCCUAAAAGAUUGUCUUUAACAGUAGAGGACCCCAAGGGCGAAGAAGUGGAGGGCAAAGAUAAAGCGGGAGAAAAGGAAAGAAAAUCACCUUCCAGUGAAGAUGAGGAUGACGAAGUUAUCAGCCCAUCGGAAGAUUUGUCAAAGCCUUUUGGCGAAGACGAAAACAAGUCUGAGGGAGGGGAAGAUGAGGAGCUGGUUGGUCGCUACUUUGAAAGCCUGGGUACCAGCUCUCCGACGCAGAAAGUGGACGAGCAGCCAGCCGAGCCACCGCCCCUGGACACGGAAAAACUGAUGCGAACCAGGCUGAGUAUCUCAGCCAGGUUUUUGUCUCGAUCGCAUCAACCUGGACGGGUUGGCUCGAUAUCAACAAACCUGGAUGAAGAAAAAGGCGACCAUCGUGCAGAUGAUGUAAGUUUUCAUCUUU